rnacentral:rRNA from 1 species
CGGAGGGUGCAAGCGUUGUCCGGAUUUAUUGGGUUUAAAGGGUGCGUAGGCGGCCUUUUAAGUCAGUGGUGAAAGCCCAUAGCUCAACUAUGGAACUGCCAUUGAUACUGAAAGGCUUGAGUACAGACGAGGUUGGCGGAAUGGAUGGUGUAGCGGUGAAAUGCAUAGAUACCAUCCAGAACUCCGAUUGCGUAGGCAGCUAACUAGGCUGUAACUGACGCUGAGGCACGAAAGCGUGGGGAGCAAACAGGAUUAGAUACCCUGGUAGUCCACGCUGUAAACGAUGAUUACUCGAUGUUGGCGAUACACAGUCAGCGUCUUAGCGAAAGCGUUAAGUAAUCCACCUGGGGAGUACGCCCGCAAGGGUG